rnacentral:lncRNA from 1 species
AUUUUAGCCUGGACCCAAAUAAAUAAAGGUGUCCAGUCCAUUUAAAAACCUAAUUUACGUGGCCCAAUUACAUUAUCCCAAUAAACCCAUAACAGAAUCAAAGAACCCUAGCCCCUUCGCCUCAGUGCCGCAGCAGCAAACAGCCUCCGCACAGAUGUCGCAGCACGUCGCACGUUCUCCUUCCACGCCGCGCACGUUUGUCUUCCAUGCACCUGCAAUAAACCAUGAAUAGCACAAAUAGGA